UUUUUUUUUUUUUAACUAAUUUCCGUGUAUGAGUCCAGCUUUGAGGCGAAGGGUUACUUGAGGAACAGUUCUUGAGGUGAGAGGAAGGAUUUAGCGGGAAUGAGAAAAUGAGGGACAGAUUUAAAGAGAUUGAAGAAUAUGAAAAAUGCAGUUCUGAGGCCAUGACUGUGGAGGUAACAAACUAUAGAGGAAAGAUGUAUAUACUAAAUGACAAGGAGAUGAAUGCUGAAGUUUCCAUGUGCAUUCAAGUGUUUGGUGUUUCUACUCUUCUUCCAUUUGAGAAGACCAUAUAUAUGAUAUUGCUGCCAUUAUAAUGACAUUCUUCAACAAGGAAGAUGCGUCUUUUUAUGGGCAUUGGCACCAUUUACAGGAUCCACAUUUAUGCAAGUCUGUUCUGUAUUUCAUUUAAAUAAAGCCUCC
ensembl:lncRNA